rnacentral:lncRNA from 1 species
CAAGAGUAAGGACAUGUGAAGGUGGGAAAUUAGGUGGUACAAUGGGUACAUGAAUCUGCUUCCCAUAUCCUAGGUUGAUGACACUGUUAAAUUACCUUUUAGUCGCCUAAGACAGAACAAAUUUGGUCCCCACUAAUGUAGCAUAGGGAUGACCAAAUUAUCAAUCAUAGGACUCAAGUUAUUAAGUUUUUUAGAAUGUAAAGUCAGAUCUUGAGUUAUUUAUCUACUAAUUAUAUACUAAUGCAGGUGGGGACAUCAAAUGAAGAAACUAAAAAGGAAAUAGAAAAUCUAAAAUCUAUAAGUUGUUUAAAAGAAGAAAGAAAUUGAAAUGAAAUGAAAGACAAGAAAAUAGAACUCUAAACUACUUAUAACAACAACAGAACCUAAACUAAAUUGAGAAGUCAAUGCAACUAAAAUGAUUUAAAAUCCAAAAAUGUAAUGUAUAGAAAUGAUCAAAUUAACACAAAAUUUCCAAAGAAUAAAAGUCACAUAACAGAACCUAAAUAGAAGAAAAUAUAAAAUCAUAAUAUGAACUAAAGACUAUUCUAACAUCAAUUCAACAGAAAUACUAAAAAUAAAGAAGCA